CAUGGUUUCUUGAAUAUAAUUUGAAAUUUGAUCUGCUCAAUGAUUAUUUAAAUUGCCGCAGUAUUUUAACUGUGCAAAGGUAGCAUAAUAAUUAGUUUCUUGAUUAGAAGCUGGAAUGAAUGAUUGGACGAUAAAAUAACUGUCUCUAUUUAAUUAUUUUAUGAAUUUUAUUUUUAAGUUAAAAAGCUUAAAUUUUAUUAAAAGACGAGAAGACCCUAUAGAGUUUAAUAUUACUUAUGUUUUUAAUUAUUGGAAUAGUUUAAAACAUAUUAUUAUUUAGUUGGGGUGACUUGAAAAUUAAUUAAAUUUUUUAAUAUUUUAAUUUUUGAUUUGAAAUUUAAUAAUCUACAUUUUUAAAGUUAAAAUAAAUUACCUUAGGGAUAACAGCGUAAUUUUUCUUUAAAGUUCUUAUUGAAAGAAAAGGUUGCGACCUCGAUGUUGGAUUAAAAUUAAUUCUAGGUGCAGUAGCUUAGGGAUUGAGUCUGUUCGACUUUUAAAAUUUUACAUGAUCUGAGU
rnacentral:rRNA from 1 species